rnacentral:tRNA from 1 species
GCGUUCGUAGCUCAGUGGAUUAGAGCACCUGGUUUCGACCCAGGGUGUCGCAGGUUCAAGUCCUGCCGAGCGCACCA